GUAUACAAGAGCUUGCUUUCUAGAGACCGCGCGGAUGGGUGAGUAACGCGUAUGCAACCUACCUUUUACAGGGGAAUAGCCCGGAGAAAUUCGGAUUAAUGCUCCAUGGUUUAAUUGAAUGGCAUCGUUUGAUUAAUAAAGAUUUAUCGGUAAAAGAUGGGCAUGCGUAUCAUUAGCUAGUUGGUGUGGUAACGGCAUACCAAGGCUACGAUGAUUAGGGGUCCUGAGAGGGAGAUCCCCCACACUGGUACUGAGACACGGACCAGACUCCUACGGGAGGCAGCAGUGAGGAAUAUUGGUCAAUGGAGGCAACUCUGAACCAGCCAUGCCGCGUGCAGGAUGACGGUCCUAUGGAUUGUAAACUGCUUUUGUACGGGAAGAAAUGUAAUUACGUGUAAUUAUUUGACGGUACCGUAAGAAUAAGGAUCGGCUAACUCCGUGCCAGCAGCCGCGGUAAUACGGAGGAUCCGAGCGUUAUCCGGAAUUAUUGGGUUUAAAGGGUUCGUAGGCGGUUGAGUAAGUCAGUGGUGAAAUCUUAUAGCUUAACUAUAAAAUUGCCGUUGAUACUGCUUGACUUGAAUAGUAUGGAAGUAAUUAGAAUAUGUAGUGUAGCGGUGAAAUGCUUAGAUAUUACAUGGAAUACCAAUUGCGAAGGCAGAUUACUACGUACUUAUUGACGCUGAUGAACGAAAGCGUGGGUAGCGAACAGGAUUAGAUACCCUGGUAGUCCACGCCGUAAACGAUGGAUACUAGCUGUUCGGUUUUCGGACUGAGUGGCUAAGCGAAAGUGAUAAGUAUCCCACCUGGGGAGUACGUUCGCAAGAAUGAAACUCAAAGGAAUUGACGGGGGCCCGCACAAGCGGUGGAGCAUGUGGUUUAAUUCGAUGAUACGCGAGGAACCUUACCAAGGCUUAAAUGUAGAUUGACAGGUUUAGAGAUAGACUUUUCUUCGGACAAUUUACAAGGUGCUGCAUGGUUGUCGUCAGCUCGUGCCGUGAGGUGUCAGGUUAAGUCCUAUAACGAGCGCAACCCCUAUUGUUAGUUGCCAGCGAGUAAUGUCGGGAACUCUAACAAGACUGCCGGUGCAAACCGUGAGGAAGGUGGGGAUGACGUCAAAUCAUCACGGCCCUUACGUCUUGGGCUACACACGUGCUACAAUGGCCAGUACAGAAAGCAGCUACCAGGCAACUGGAUGCGAAUCUCAAAAACUGGUCUCAGUUCGGAUUGGAGUCUGCAACUCGACUCCAUGAAGCUGGAAUCGCUAGUAAUCGGAUAUCAGCCAUGAUCCGGUGAAUACGUUCCCGGGCCUUGUACACACCGCCCGUCAA
rnacentral:rRNA from 1 species